rnacentral:rRNA from 1 species
CCUACGGGAGGCAGCAGUGGGGAAUCUUGCGCAAUGGGCGAAAGCCUGACGCAGCAACGCCGCGUGCGGGAUGAAGGCCUUCGGGCUGUAAACCGCUUUCAGCAGGAACGAAAAUGACGGUACCUGCAGAAGAAGGAGCGGCCAACUACGUGCCAGCAGCCGCGGUGACACGUAGGCUCCAAGCGUUGUCCGGAUUUAUUGGGCGUAAAGAGCUCGUAGGCGGUCUAAUAAGUCGGGUGUGAAAACUCUGGGCUCAACCCGGAGACGCCAUCCGAUACUGUUAUGACUUGAGUUCAGGAGGGGAGCGGGGAAUUCCUAGUGUAGCGGUGAAAUGCGCAGAUAUUAGGAGGAACACCGGUGGCGAAGGCGCCGCUCUGGACUGAAACUGACGCUGAGGAGCGAAAGCAUGGGUAGCAAACAGGAUUAGAUACCCUGGUAGUCCAUGCCGUAAACGGUGGGCACUAGGUGUGGGUUUCAACUACGAAAUCCGCGCCGUCGCUAACGCAUAGUGCCCGCCGUGGGAGGUACGGUCGCGAGACUAAACCUACAAGGAAGUUAGACGGCGUGAGACGUGCCGAACGGACGACCGACCGAGGGGAGUAGGG